GAAUAAAUUCCUGCAUUAGGAGCCAGUAUAAGGUUCUGAACACACCUGAUUGCUUUCAAUGCCAUGCCACAGUGAAUUAAAUGUUCUCAAAAUUUUAUCAAGCAAAUACCAUUGUGUCGUUUCUACUAUGUUCAUCUUUUAGGAAUAAUCAUACAAUACUGGUACCUUACAAGCUCAUCACAAUCUAAAUUGAUAGAACAAACUGCUGAAACUAUCUCUGCAUAAAAAAGAAGUUUUUGACCUGCACAUCAUCUCUUUGCUGUUGAUGCAAGAUAUUGACAGGAAGACUUUAGAAAUUUUAUUUCAGGUAAAGAAGAUCUAGGAAGGAAGCAAAUCUUAUGGCUUCUAAGCCAACUGUAGUUGAUUGCAUUUUCUUCACAUAUCAUUGAUAAAAGCAUGUAGCCUUGACUGAUAGAAUGGAAAGGAGGUGAGCCCCUGUGUGCCCAUCACAAGAUGCCAGCUAUCUGAUCAACUAGGUGAACGGUGGUCACACAUAGCCAGAUUUUAGGAGCACCAUGUCCAGCUGGUAGUGGGGCACAACAGUGAGGAGCAUGACACACAUAUGCCCACACCAAGCAAACUUGCUACAUUAGUCCCGGCAGAUGCAUUCACCAUUGGAACAUAUUCUGUUGUCACGUUGCCUUUUCAAGGAGUUCUUUUAUUCUGCAAUAUAUUUGCAAAUUGAUUUAGUUGUCGUGUGUACCCACAUUACCCUGCAGUUUCUGCCUUUUUAUUCUGCAUUCACCAUUGCUGUCCUACCCCCACCCCACCCCCAGCGGAACUUUUGUGUUCCUACUUUAUGCCGUUCUUGUAAAUUGUAAACAUUUCUAAAGCCUUUCUAUAUUGAUACAGGCUGGGCAGAAAUCCUGGCGGCAGUGUGGGGAGAAAAGAUGUGCAAGUGGAGUGGAGAGGUCCAACAAGGUAGAAUGGACUAAGGGAGGAAUUCUUCUCUUGGAGUGGGGGUUAAAGUGGCUUAUCUUAACAUGCAUCCGAUCCUCUCUCUCUGGGGUUUGUGAUAACAAGAUUCAAAGGAUGAUGCCUCGUCAAUAGGGUUCCUGUUUUUCUCCUUAUCAUCCAUGAAACCUUGCCCCCACCCACCCACCCAAAAAAAAAAAAUGGAAGGCUCUCUUGUGGGGUUGCUAAAUAAUUUGGUUUGGUGUUCUGGUCUGUUUUCGGCUAGACACAUUGAUGUCAUAAUCGAAACGCACAUGAAGGCUGGCAGCAGCUUGUGAUCUGAAUCCAAGUCCAUUGUUCACUUUGUGGCCCCGGAAGAGCCAGAAUGAAAACUUGACUGUGCAUGCACAUACAUGUAGCGGGUAAAACCUCCCUUGUCGUGACCUGUGUGAGUUUUGCCAUAUGACUUGCAAACAGUAAAAUGAUUGUGCAUAUGCUGGACCAUGAUUCAUAUAUAUGGCAAGAGGAUGAAAAAUCAUUCGCUUGCAGAAAUGGACCAACAUAUGGCCCUGAGAGAGAUUAACCUGUUUCGGUUUUAUUGUGCACUCACCGAAGGUCAUUUGCAUCCCGACAAACGUGUGGUAAUGUUGAGGCUCCUCUUUCUGCCUCUCUGACACAACGCGUAGAUGAUGGUUUGCCAGGAUCAUGUUGUCUGCAUGGGAGAGAAAAAAGAGUGUUCAUGUAGCCUGAUGCCGUGUUAAUAUUUACAGUUUUCAUGUUUGACAUUUAUUUGCACGUGUACGGUACCUUCUCUUUCUCAAGAAAUUCAAGUACCAUCCAUCAGACGACUGUGGCCUGGCCGUUCUCAGCAAGCUAGCGUACGUGUGGUCUAACAAUACCCGAUGGAAGAAGUUGCUCCCGUGUCGGCAUGGAACCAACAAGGCUGGGCGGGGCCCCAUCCUCUUCUUGCGUCGAUCCGUAACAUGUAGCAGAAGAUGGUUGUAACAGGAAUGUGUAGCUAGCAGAGCUUGCAGCUGCCGAAGGCGGUAACAGGAAUGUCAUGUCGCACGUACAG
rnacentral:lncRNA from 1 species